rnacentral:tRNA from 1 species
GCCUCCAUAGCUCAGUGGGAGAGCACUGGUCUUGUAAACCAGGGGUCGUGAGAUCGAUCCUCACUUGCGGCA